CAACAGGGAUUGCCCCAGUAACGGCGAGUGAAGCGGCAACAGCUCAGAUUUGAAAUCUGGCCCUCCGGGUCCGAGUUGUAAUCUGUAGAGGAUGCUUUUGGCAAGACGCCUUCUGAGUCCCCUGGAACGGGGCGCCAUAGAGGGUGAGAGCCCCGUACGGUUGGACGUCGCGCCUCUGUAAAGCACCUUCGACGAGUCGAGUAGUUUGGGAAUGCUGCUCAAAGCGGGAGGUAAAUUUCUUCUAAAGCUAAAUACCGGCCAGAGACCGAUAGCGCACAAGUAGAGUGAUCGAAAGAUGAAAAGCACUUUGAAAAGAGGGUUAAAAAGCACGUGAAAUUGUUGAAAGGGAAGCGUUUGUGACCAGACUUGGUCCCGGCGGAUCAUCCGGCGUUCUCGCCGGUGCACUCCGCCGGGUUCAGGCCAGCAUCGGUUUUCCCGGGGGCAUAAAGGCGUCGGGAACGUAGCUCCUCCGGGAGUGUUAUAGCCCGUCACACAAUACCCCCGGGGGGACCGAGGCCCGCGCAUUGCAAGGAUGCUGGCGUAAUGGUCACCAGCGACCCGUCUUGAAACACGGACCAAGGAGUCAAGCAUUAGGGCGAGUGUUUGGGUGUCAAACCCGCACGCGAAAUGAAAGUGAACGCUGGUGAGAGCCUCGGCGCAUCAUCGACCGAUCCUGAUGUAUUCGGAUGGAUUUGAGUAAGAGCCUUACCGCUUGGACCCGAAAGAUGCUGAACUAUGCUUGUAUAGGGUGAAGCCAGAGGAAACUCUGGUGGAGGCUCGCAGCGGUUCUGACGUGCAAAUCGAUCGUCAAAUAUGAGCAUGGGGGCGAAAGACUAAUCGAAG
rnacentral:rRNA from 1 species